AGUGAACGCUGGCGGCGUGCCUAAUACAUGCAAGUCGAACGGAGUGGCGCACGGGUGAGUAAUGUAUAGCUAAUCUGCCCUACACUAGAGGACAACAGUUGGAAACGACUGCUAAUACUCUAUAGUGUAGGAUGAGGGUAUAUUGUAUCAGCGAGUUGGUGAGGUAAUGGCUCACCAAGGCUAUGACGCAUAACUGGCCUGAUAGGAUGAUCAGUAGAACUGGAACUGAGACAAGGUCCAGACUCCUACGGGAGGUAGCAGUAGGUAGUAUUACUCAAUGGGGGAGACCCUGAAGCAGCAACGCCGCGGGGAGGAUGACACUUGUCGGAGCGUAAACUCCUUUUGUUAGGGAAACGGUACCUAACGAAUAAGCACCGGCUAACUCCGUGCCAGCAGCCGCGGUAAUUC
rnacentral:rRNA from 1 species